rnacentral:lncRNA from 1 species
AUAACCCUUUAGAUUGUGAAACUGCCCUUUUUUUCAUUUUUUCAUUUGCUCAUUUUAAAUAAUACUUUGAAUUGUGAAACAUUCGGGCCAGCCUUAUUGGAAAUGAUCAUAAAUCCGUUAUAGUGGUAGAUACUUAUUCAUCUCCACAUGUUUUUUUUAAUGUUUUUUAUAUGGUUGAGUUAUUGUCUCAUAAGUACUUUACAUAAAUAUCAUGUUUACAGAAAUGGUAAAGAUAUGUUACACAUGGUAAGUGUGUAGUAUUGUUUUUUUAUAC